GCCAGCUGGGUGCAUGUGUGGGUGGGGCUGAGGGCUGUGGGAGGGGCUUGAUGGAGAGUGGGUGGGGCCUGGUGGGAGCAUUGGGGUGUGGGCGGGGCCACACUGACCCCGCCCCCUCCCCGCAGUGCUGCGGAAGCGCCUGGCGGCCAUCUUUGACGCCUGCGUCCUCUCGAAGCGCUGCCCCCCCGGCUGCCCCCACCGCCACAAGGACGCGCUGUGGGUGCGGGGGCUGAACGCGGCGCUGGGGGCCCUGGCGCUCUUCCACCUCGCCUACCUGGGCGCCCUCUUCGACGUGGAGGCCGACGACGCCGUGGAGGAGCAGGGCUACGGGAUGUCCUACACCGUGCGCAAGUGGUCGGAGCUGAGCUGGGCCAGCCACUGGGUGACGCUGGGCUGCUGGGUCGUCGCCCGCCUGCUCCGCUGACCGGGGACGCGCUGGGAGCAACUGGGAGCACUGGGGAGCCCCCCCUCCCAGCACCGGGGGAGAGCACGCAGAGAGGGCCCCCUUCCACACCCUUCUAGGCGGUGGAGGACUGCUCCUCUCUAUGGUUGCACCCCCACGCACCAGCCAAUG
rnacentral:lncRNA from 1 species